AACGCACAUUGCGCCCCUUGGUAUUCCGAGGGGCAUGCCUGUUCGAGCGUCAUUACAACCCUCAAGCUCUGCUUGGUAUUGGGCCUCACCCGUCAGGGCGUGCCUUAAAAUCAGUGGCGGUGCCAUCUGGCUCUAAGCGUAGUAAUUUUUCUCGCUAUAGGGUCCUGUGGAUGCUUGCCAGCAACCCCAAUUUUUCUAUGGUUGACCUCGGAUCAGGUAGGGAUACCCGCUGAACUUAA
rnacentral:misc_RNA from 1 species